UUUCCGUAGGUGAACCUGCGGAAGGAUCAUUAUCGAGUUUUGACUGGGUUGUAGCUGGCCUUCCGAGGCAUGUGCACGCCCUGCUCAUCCAUCUCACCCCUAUGUGCACCACCGCGUGGGUCCCCCUUUGGCUUGUUCGGAGGGGGGCUUACGUUUUCACACAAACUUUGUAUGCAGUGUAGAAUGUAUUUUUUGUUUUUGCGAUCACGCAAUCAAUACAACUUUCAACAACGGAUCUCUUGGCUCUC
rnacentral:misc_RNA from 1 species